UACGAAGGGGGCUAGCGUUGCUCGGAAUCACUGGGCGUAAAGCGCACGUAGGCGGACAUUUAAGUCAGGGGUGAAAUCCCGGAGCUCAACUCCGGAACUGCCUUUGAUACUGGGUGUCUUGAGUGUGGAAGAGGUGAGUGGAAUUCCGAGUGUAGAGGUGAAAUUCGUAGAUAUUCGGAGGAACACCAGUGGCGAAGGCGGCUCACUGGUCCAUUACUGACGCUGAGGUGCGAAAGCGUGGGGAGCAAACAGG
rnacentral:rRNA from 1 species